GACGGAGGGUGCGAGCGUUUAUCGGAAUUACUGGGCGUAAAGCGCAUGUAGGCGGCCGAACAAGUCAGGUGUGAAAUCCUCGGGCUUAACCUGGGAAGUGCACUUGAUACUGUCCGGCUAGAGUUUGGCAGAGGAAAGUAGAAUUCCCGGUGUAGCGGUGAAAUGCGUAGAUAUCGGGAGGAAUACCAGUGGCGAAGGCGGCUUUCAGGGCCAAUACUGACGCUGAGGUGCGAAAGCGUGGGGGGCAAACAGG
rnacentral:rRNA from 1 species